rnacentral:lncRNA from 12 species
GUAACGAAGAGUAGAUGGAUGGACAGAGGGGCUCCCAUUCCACUACAUAGCGCUGCGUCAGAUGGCCCCUCCUCCAGGUGUGGUCUGACUGGGCAGCAUUGGCCUCACCUGGGAGCUGAGCUUGUUGGCUAUGCAGGAUCUUGGACCCUGCUUCCACCUGCUGCAUCAGAAUCUGCAUGGGAGCAAGGUCACCAGGUGAUUCUGGGGCAUCUUAGUGCAUAGGAAGCACUGUCUUAGAACAUAGGCUCUGAAGUCUGACCACCUGUUUUAAUCAAGCUCUUAUCUCUUCUGUGUGACCCAUCUCAACCUUUCUAUGCUUCCAGUCUCUAGUUUUCACAACGAGGCCAUCCCCCCACCCCCACCCCCACCUCUGGGCUACUGUGAGCACUGCCAGGUGAUCUAUCCAGGGGGCUAAGGCCAGAAGAUUACACUCAAGGGCACCCAGCCCCGAACCCCAUGGAGUCCUGCACUAUAGCUAUUGUGAUUGUUAAUGAUUAAAAAAAAUUUGGGGGGGGGUCCUAAGCCAUCCUAUUGUCUUUGAGGUCUAGGCAUUCAGGCCAAGGAUGGUUCCUUUGAUGGUCAUGUGAUCUGUUAGCUGCAUGGAGGGCUCCCCUUUCCCUGCUGGACUCACAUGAUUUAAAUGGCUGCUGAGGCCUUUUAAAGCCCAUUGGGACAGCUUCCUCACCCCACUGAGGACCACCUGUUCUUACUAACCAUCCCAAACAGAGCGAGUUUGCAAGGGGGCCCUACAGGCUGGUAAGUUUUGGCCUCCCAAGUUGUUGAGAGCAGAUCUCACUGUGGCUUGGUGGAUCUUUCUGGCCCAUGGAGCCACCACAGUUCAGCCAGGAGAGGGGAUACACGCUCUGCUGCGGGUGGUGGGGUUUCUGGGGCAGCUGUGACUCUUGGAUGCUCUCUUUCUUUCUCCUGUUAUCUCUACAGAUGAAAACCAGCGUGUCCACUGGUGAGACGAACUGUUCCAUGAGCCGGGGCCAGGAAAAGGCAGCAAACAAAAUGAACAGUCAGCCGAGUAGCGUUUGCUGGAGAUUUACAUGGAAACCUGCUCACAGAUGCAGGGCUGCUGGAUUUAUAACAAGGGUAAAAGAGGAAAAUGCCUUUGUGUUUACACAUGAGCCAGAGGGAAAGGGGAGCAGUGCAUCUUAA